AUUUUAACCACACCAACUACAUUUAAGUUGCCAGUCCUAAGUCUGAAUAAAGUGGGAAGGAAGC
ncrna:Acyrthosiphon pisum (pea Type-P1 twister ribozyme ribozyme sequence